GCGAACGUGCGGCAGCGAAUACUCUAAGGUCACAGCGAUUCUCAGAGUCAACGGUGCGGAUACGCAACGGUCAGCGCACAAGCAUAGUCGCACUAACACACACACACACGGUCUCAGGUAAAGCACUCGUAUGCUGUACACACCUGCCUGUGUAUGUAUGUGUGCUGCAUAUAAACGCGUUUAAUUAAUGUGAAAGUGUCGUCGGCGCUGCCGUUUUUCUUUGUACUCGACGUUACUCGCUUUUCUGAAUCGCCUAAGUGUUAACCGUUAAAUGUGCCGUUAAUUUUUCUUUUCGCGAUUAUUAAGUGCUAAAAACGCUGAAUUGAUUUCACACAUUUUUUUCUUGCAUUUUUUCGAAUUUAUUCGAGCAAGUGGUAAAUCGAAUUUAAUUCAUUUUCCUUUAGCUCGGCGGUCUUGGUUUUGCAUUGUGAUCCGAGCGGCAUACCUGGUCAUUUCAGGCAACUGAGGAGAGCACUCCUGGCCCCUUUUUAGACAUCAAAGACGGCAACAACGGCGGCCAGAAUUUUCUCACGUUUGGAUAGUGUCGAGGAGGUGCAACGCGGUCGCAGUGGCAGCGCUGUGGGAA